UUUUGCCUAAUUCUAGAUGCACUUUGAUACUUGUCUCUUACUCGUUCUUAUGUCUCUUAAGAAAUUAACGAAUCGAUACUCGAUGGACCGUUAAAAAAUGUGAGCAGCUUCACGGCUGAGGUUCUGUGGGACCCCCACUAAUUUUUGUGAAACUCAAGUGAAGCACAUCGCCAUUGACUAUCAUUUUGUGAUAAUCAUCUGUUCAAAUGGCUCAUGCUUUCACGAUGCCUCUUUCAUCUGUUCAGUUCACUACUUUAUGUGCCAAGAUCGGAGUCUCACCGGACAUGUUAAGGACACACUAAUUAACAAGACAGACGAGGCUAACUAUGAGCUCAACUUUUUCGUCUUAGCUCAAUCCAAUUCAGUCCAUCCAACUGGAGUUCGUAGAUUAGUUUGUUGCAUUUUAAAUUUUGUAUUUAAGAGCAUGAUCUUAUCUUAAUACUUGUAUAUUGUAACCUCAGUUGAGGAAAUGUUAUAUCGAAACCAUUUUUAGUUCUCCAAUUUAUACCUAUAAAAAUUAUUCAGAUAUUUGGAGAAAUACUGCAAAUCUCUAUUUGAUACGAUCAACG
rnacentral:lncRNA from 1 species